AACGAACGCUGGCGGCAUGCCUAACACAUGCAAGUCGAACGAGACCUUCGGGUCUAGUUGCGCACGGGUGCGUAACGCGUGGGAACCUGCCCUUAGGUUCGGAAUAACUCCCCGAAAGGGGUGCUAAUACCGGAUAAUGUCUUCGGACCAAAGAUUUAUCGCCUUUGGAUGGGCCCGCGUUGGAUUAGCUAGUUGGUAGGGUAAAAGCCUACCAAGGCGACGAUCCAUAGCUGGUCUGAGAGGAUGAUCAGCCACACUGGGACUGAGACACGGCCCAGACUCCGACGGGAGGGAGCAGUGGGGAAUAUUGGACAAGGGGCGAAAGCCUGAUCAAGCCAUGCGGCGUGAGUGAUGAAGGCCUUAGGGUUGUAAAGCUCUUUUACCCGGGAUGAUAAUGACAGUACCGGGAGAAUAAGCUCCGGCUAACUACGUG
rnacentral:rRNA from 1 species